rnacentral:rRNA from 1 species
CUGGCUCAGGAUGAACGCUGGCGGCGUGCCUAACACAUGCAAGUCGAGCGAUCUCUCGGAGAAGAGCGGCGGACGGGUGAGUAACGCGUGGGUAACCUGCCUCAUACACAUGGAUAACAUACCGAAAGGUAUGCUAAUACAGGAUAAUAUAAGAGAUUCACAUGGAUUUCUUAUCAAAGCUCCGGCGGUAUGAGAUGGACCCGCGUCUGAUUAGCUAGUUGGUAAGGUAACGGCUUACCAAGGCGACGAUCAGUAGCCGACCUGAGAGGGUGAUCGGCCACAUUGGAACUGAGACACGGUCCAAACUCCUACGGGAGGCAGCAGUGGGGAAUAUUGCACAAUGGGCGAAAGCCUGAUUGCAGCAACGCCGCGUGAGUGAUGAAGGCCUUCGGGUCGUAAAACUCUGUCCUCAAGGAAGAUAAUGACGGUACUUGAGGAGGAAGCCCCGGCUAACUACGUGCCAGCCGCCGC